rnacentral:tRNA from 1 species
GAGUGUGUACCCAAUGUUGGUAGCGGGGAUAGUCUGCAAAACUAUUGUAACACCGGUUCAAUUCCGGUCAUGCUCU